GAUGAACGCUAGCGGCAGGCUUAAUACAUGCAAGUCGAACGGUAAGUAUUUUAGCAAUAAGAUACGAGAGUGACGUACGGGUGCGUAACACGUAUGCAACCUACCUUGUACAGGAGGAUAGCUCGGGGAAACUCGAAUUAACCCUCCAUAAGAUCGUGGUGAGGCAUCUCACAGCGAUAAAAUCUUAGGAGGUACAAGAUGGGCAUGCGUCUGAUUAGAGUUGGUGCGGGUAACGCCCACCAAGACGAUGAUCAGUAGGGGACCUGAGA
rnacentral:rRNA from 1 species